rnacentral:rRNA from 1 species
GACGAACGCUGGCGGCGUGCCUAAUACAUGCAAGUAGAACGCUGAAGAGAGGAGCUUGCUCUUCUUGGAUGAGUUGCGAACGGGUGAGUAACGCGUAGGUAACCUGCCUUUUAGCGGGGGAUAACUAUUGGAAACGAUAGCUAAUACCGCAUAACAAUGGAUGACACAUGUCAUUUAUUUGAAAGGGGCAUUUGUUCCACUACAAGAUGGACCUGCGUUGUAUUAGCUAGUAGGUGAAGUAAUGGCUCACCUAGGCGACGAUACAUAGCCGACCUGAGAGGGUGAUCGGCCCCAAUGGGACUGAGACACGGCCCAGGAUCCUACGGGAGGCAGCAGUAGGGAAUCUUCGGCAAUGGGGGCAAACCUGACCGAGCAAAGCCGCGUGAGUGAAGAAGGUUUUCGGAUCGUAAAGCUCUGUUGUAAGUCAAGAACGGGUGUGAGAGUGGAAAGUUCACACUGUGACGGUAGCUUACCAGAAAGGGACGGCUAACUACGUG